rnacentral:rRNA from 1 species
UACAGAGGGGGGCAAGCGUUGUCCGGACUGACUGGGCGUAAAGCGCACGCAGGCGGUCACGGGCGUCGGUGCUGAAAAGUGCGCCGCUUAACGGCGCAAUGCGUAUCGAUACGCCGUGACUGGAGCAAUGCAGAGGCCAGUGGAAUUGCCGGUGUAGUGGUGAAAUGCGUAGAGAUCGGCAGGAACACCCAAGGGGGAAGCCAGCUGGCUGGGCAUUUGCUGACGCUCAUGUGCGACAGCGUGGGGGAGCGAACUGG